rnacentral:sRNA from 1 species
UUCAAUUUAUUAAUUUAAUCGGUGAUUUACGUGUAGACCCGCACGUAAUUUAUCCGACUUUCGAUUACGGGUAUAAAAGGAGAAAGACGAUUAAAAGCUCGAACGUAAACAGAUUAGUCGUUAGAUAAGAAUAUAUUACCUUUUACCCAAUAAUAACGUUUUGUUAAUCGAUCGAUUUACGAAAGGCCUAUUAACACAUUAGCGCAAAUGCUAACCUGAAAUUGCGCGUUAUUAAAAUCGCUGCGUAAAUGCUUUUAAGGGUAUUGGGCGUUUAUUAAUUGCCUCGGGCCACGAAUCGAACUUUGUACCGCUUUAAAUAUCCGUCCUUAUCGAAUUUGUAAAUAAAAACCCAUAUAAAGGGAACCCGCCUCGUUUUGCAUUCGGAUUUCGGUAUUACCUCCCAUAUUUCCUUUUAUUUAAAAGUAUCCUAUUCCAAACGUACCGCUUUUAUAAAUUGCAUAUAAUUUGGGUAAUUUAGAAACUCCUUCCAGGUUUUGGGAAUUGGUAAUAGGUCGUUUCGAUAUAAUUUAAUUUUCAAAUCCGGUUUUUUUUGCUAUGUAACUGCUGCAACAAUUUCGUAUAAUAUUUUAUAAUUAUAAUUACCGCCUUCCAACGUAUUUUGUUAAUUAGGCAAAAAUAUUGUAAUAAACAAUGCCCACGCCUCGGAACUCGGUACAAAUAUCCAAUUUGGGUUAUAUAUUUGUUUAAUAAACACGUUAUUAUUUCCGCCUAUUUAAUUCCUCCCCACGGGGAAUAAUAUAUACGCAAAAUUCGUGCUAUUAUUAUCCCCUUUGCGCCUUCCGCGUUAUACGCUUCCCCCACCUCGUUAUUUGCGUGGCCUUACAUUUAUUUCCAAAAUUUUUGUGGUGAACCUCGUAACGCGUAAUAUUCGUUUAAAUUCGUUUACGCGCGUGGAACCCAUUUUUGGGGGCUCCAACGCACGUAUAAAAAAGGCGGUCCGUGCGGGUAAAUUAUUAGGGGGUUAUGGUUUAGGGGUUUUUGCACCCCCGGCCUCGGAUUAAUCCGGCGAAAAAUAUCGUACUACCGUCUUAACCGUUCCGAAACCCGGUUUAACCUAUUUUGUACGUCCUACCGGUUUCGGCGCAUCUAAUCCCUUACUGGGGUUCGUCGAUACAAAUAAUAGAAAUCUCGUAUUGCUCGGGGUGCGCACCCUAAGGUUAUACGUAUUAUUUCCUGUUUUGGACGUUCCGUCCCUAUUUGCCAAAACCGUUGGGUAUUUUGGCGCCACCAAAAUACAAUUUCUGGGCUCGUUAACUUUUAAUAUAUAUUUUCCAGGCGGUUCCGGUUGGUUCGCCGCCUUUCCUGGAAACGGUCCACCCGUAAUUAUUCGUGCGGGUUUUUAUUCUGCGUAAACUUUUAUCCCUUCGUCGGGACGUUCGUUUGCAUCUUCCGCGCCUCGUUUAUUUUAUUACCGAAUAUUAUUUACCUCCAAAUUAAAAAUAGGUACGCCUAAAUCUGGGGUAAACACUGGCCUAUUUUAUAACAGGCCCAACCUUUCGGCAACGCCUGUGCUAACAGCUUCCAAAUUGGGCUCGUAAAUUAUAUUAAUCAACAGUUCGUAUUCGUUAAUCAACUUACCGGUCUCCUUUACCUUUUGCUUUAAUCCCUUAUAAAAACAGGUUUCGUUAAACCGAACGUUGCGUAAAAUGAUAAUCUUGUCGAAAAACGGCACCCAUAUAUAAUAUAUUUUGGUAACUUUAUAACCUACCAAAUACCCAACGUGGGAUUUUGGAUUCGUUUUAAAUAUCACCCUAUUUUAAAUCUUUACCCUGACCGGAUUUAACACGUACGCCUUGCAACCAUACAUAUAAAUCCCUAACCAAUUUGGGCGCAGGUCCUUCCCUAAUUUAAUAUGCAAAACCGGUAUAUAAUACCUAAAAAAUCGCUGGAACUAUACCAGGAGGAUUUUAUUCGGACUAACCCCUUUUUUAUUUAUUAAAAAGUUUAUAUUAAUUAAAUAGGCUGCGGCCAUAACCAUUUCUGGCCAAAAGGUGCUAGGUAGGUUGGUUGCUAAACGCAUCUUCAAUGCGCGCACGAUUAUUUCUUAACCUAAACGUUUUAUUUAACCGUUAGGCUCGUGGAUAUCUGCUGGGGGUGUUAAUAGGAAUCGUAUAAUCGCUGCGAUCGGUAAAAACAAUAUUAACAAAUUGAACGUAAUUUAAUCUCUUCUCUUCUAGCUAUUUACAUAUUCGUCAAAAUCGGUUGAAGAUUCUUUUACAUGUUAUAAAAUCACGUGGUUAAACACGUAAUUUCCUUAUACGCAUAUCUGCCCAUAAAUUAACACAGGUUAUCUUUUAUAUUAAUUGCAAAUAUACCCUCCUAUAAAACCGUAAAUAAUUGCUAAUAAAAUAACAAAGGAAAAAUAACCGCAUUUGGAAAAUCGUGUAAUUUCCUAACGUUGCAAACAAAUGCGCUAAAAUAGCCGUUCCCGGCUUUUUUUAAAUAAUCCUAUUAUUUUCCAAUUACAAUUGAAAAACCCUUUAUUGUACGUAAACGGUUAAUUUAUUAUUAAUAACUAUUAUAAUAGGAAUAUUUAAUAAAAACUUUGUAUUGUAAUAAUUACCGAUCCCGUUUUAAUCCGUUUAUAUAAUACCUUUUUUUUUGGGUUUAUAAACUUUUUUUUUUAUUUUUCCGACCCAUAUUUCACCACGUUACCGUAAAUACGCCGUUUAUUUCCAACGAUUAUUAAAUGGGUAUAUCGUUGUUAAUAUAAUUUAAAAAAUGUCCGAUUUUAU